UAGAUACUCCAUAACCUUAUCAUACUUCAUAUCAAAAUCACUCCAUAUUUUUUAUUCUAAUUAACAGUUCAAAAUCACCUUUUUCUAGAAGGAUCAUGAUUUAAAGAUCAUGAAAUAAAGUUAAGAUGUCUCACUUCAUUAAAAGGGAAUAAUGUAUAAGCUCAAAACGUGAAAUUCAUAUUAAGUUUCGUUACAUGAGUUUUGUAUAUAAAUGACUCGAUACUAGUGCGAAAAUAAAUCAAGACAAGCAAAUCUUUCAAAAUGAAUUUCAGUUUCUUUAAAGUUGUUCUUACCACUGGAAUGUUUCUUCUCCUUUUACUUUCUGAUAUGGAAGAAGUUUUUGCUGGAUAAAUAUAUAUGAUCCUGCAUUUCAAGGAAAUGAUCAAAAUCUAAACAAUGAAACAAGUUUAGUUUUAUAAGAAAUGAAAUAAAUAUUUCUGUGUGCA